AUAUUAAUAAGCGGAGGAAAAGAAACUAACAAGGAUUCCCUUAGUAACGGCGAGCGAAAAGGGAAGAGCCCAGCGCCGAAUCUUGUAUCCCCCGGGUGCAGAGACAUGUGGCGUUUGGGACGAGACAUUGCCUGUGCAGAGUGGUUAACCAAGUCCCUCUUGAACGGGGCCAUAGCCCAAGGAGGGUGCUAGGCCCGUACGUUAACUAUAUUGUGCAGUGCGUCUCGUCCGUAGAG
rnacentral:rRNA from 1 species